rnacentral:tRNA from 1 species
GUCCUCGUAGUUUAAUGGAUAAAAUAUCUCCCUCCGAAGGAGAUGAUGCGCGUUCGAUUCGCGCCGAGGGCA